ACGAACGCUGGCGGCGUGCUUCACACAUGCCAGUCGAACGGAAAGGCCCUGCCUUUGUGGGGUGCUCGAGUGGCGAACGGGUGAGUAACACGGGAGUAACCUGCCCUUGACUUUGGGAUUACUUCAGGAAAAUGGGGCUAAUACCGGAUAGGAGCUCCUGCUGCAUGGUGGGGGUUGGAAAGUUUCGGCGGUUGGGGAUGGACUCGCGGCUUAUCAGCUUGUUGGUGGGGUAGUGGCUUACCAAGGCUUUGACGGGUAGCCGGCCUGAGAGGGUGACCGGCCACAUUGGGACUGAGAUACGGCCCAGACUCCUACGGGAGGCAGCAGUGGGGAAUAUUGCACAAUGGGCGGAAGCCUGAUGCAGCAACGCCGCGUGCGGGAUGACGGCCUUCGGGUUGUAAACCGCUUUCGCCUGUGACGAAGCGUGAGUGACGGUAAUGGGUAAAGAAGCACCGGCUAACUACGUG
rnacentral:rRNA from 1 species